UCUUAUGGAUGGGCAAAGAAAGUGGUUUCUCAAUAUGGAAACUGCUCCUGGUGAAGAUGCUGUGAA
rnacentral:pre_miRNA from 1 species